CGGGUCAGGCCCCGCCCGCGACCUCAGCGCUGCCAGAGGUCAAGGUCAAGGCCAAACCACAGGACGAGCCGCUCAACAUCAAGGAGCCGGUCUGGACCCCCAAAUCGAGUCCCACAACGGAACGGAAGCAAUACAGAGCCAUCAACUACGACAGCAGUAGCCUGGAAAGAAAGAAAACGGCGACACCGCCACCGCCGCCGCCGCGCCUCGUCCGAGUCGUUCGCGUGGCG